UACGUAGGCGCAAGCGUUAUCCGGAAUUAUUGGGCGUAAAGAGCUCGUAGGCGGUUUGUCGCGUCUGCCGUGAAAGUCCGGGGGGCUCAACUCCGGAUCUGCGGUGGGUACGGGGGCAGACUAGAGUGAUGUAGGGGGAGACUGGAAAAUUUUCCUGGUGUAGCGGUGAAAAUGCGCAGAUAUCAGGAGGAAAACACCGAUGGCGAAAAGGGGCAGGGGUCUCUGGGGCAUUUAAACUGACGCUGAGGGAGCGAAAGCAUGGGGAGCGAAAACAGGAU
rnacentral:rRNA from 1 species